CAAUAGUUUCAAGCUGCUGAUUCUCAGAGCAGUAAUCCAUCCCAGCAUUGGUCUGAAGAACCCUGUGAACUGAGAAUUCACUAACCUUCACAGACUGGCUCGGCACUAGCACCUCUACUUCUCUACAGGUGAUCUCUAAUAGCCUUGCAGGCAGUGGUCCAGACAUCAAAAACUAAAAAAAAUCUUUAAAAGCCAAUGCUUACUAUAAACUCUAAAAGAUUUUUCUCUCCUGCUAAACAAGAUAGCCCCUUAGAGAGAAGUUAUUUCUUUUAACUAAAUAUGUGUCCUUGACGAAAUAAUGAGGACUUUUCCUCAGUAUAACCGAAAUAGAAAAGUCAAAAGCAGGAAAACAAAGACUGUAAGAAUAUAAGGAAAACCCUCAUGGGAGAUGAGAGAAUGGAAGCCAAUAAAUCAGAAAUCUUUACAAGGAUACCAGAUCUAGUAAACAUUGAUUCUGUUUAUUCCAGGUGUACAAAAGAAAUGGAAGAUUCAUCCUUUUCAGCUUUACAAGGUCAUUUAUAAUUCUACUCCAGUCCUCCAAAGUAAUAACUACUUACUCCAAUUUGCUGUUGUCUGUAAAUUUGAUCAUCGUGUGCUGUAGUCUGUCACCACACAACAGCGGAACAUGUUAAAUCGCCUCAUAUCUAAGAAGAAACAACGGAUGCUACAGUUUGUUCGCAGCCAUCGGCAGUUCCGGUGCCGUUUCAGGUGCGGCAGGAUUUCGGGAUCUCGGUGGAGCUGCGGUCUUGACGGUGACCCGAGGAGGGUUAACACAGAAGUG
rnacentral:lncRNA from 1 species